GACGAACGCUGGCGGCGUGCCUAAUACAUGCCAGUUGAGCGCUGAAGGUUGGUACUUGUACCAACUGGAUGAGCAGCGAACGGGUGAGUAACGCGUGGGGAAUCUGCCUUUGAGCGGGGGACAACAUUUGGAAACGAAUGCUAAUACCGCAUAAAAACUUUAAACACAAGUUUUAAGUUUGAAAGAUGCAAUUGCAUCACUCAAAGAUGAUCCCGCGUUGUAUUAGCUAGUUGGUGAGGUAAAGGCUCACCAAGGCGAUGAUACAUAGCCGACCUGAGAGGGUGAUCGGCCACAUUGGGACUGAGACACGGCCCAAACUCCUACGGGAGGCAGCAGUAGGGAAUCUUCGGCAAUGGACGAAAGUCUGACCGAGCAACGCCGCGUGAGUGAAGAAGGUUUUCGGAUCGUAAAACUCUGUUGGUAGAGAAGAACGUUGGUGGGAGUGGAAAGCUCAUCAAGUGACGGUAACUACCCAGAAAGGGACGGCUAACUACGUG
rnacentral:rRNA from 1 species